AGAAUCAACGCUGGCGGCGUGCCUAACACAUGCAAGUCGAACGAGAAAGUGGAGCAAUCCAUGAGUAAAGUGGCGCACGGGUGAGUAACACGUGACUAACCUACCCUUGAGUGGGGGAUAACCUAGAGAAAUCUGGGCUAAUACCGCAUAAUACCUUCGGGUCAAAGGAGCAAUUCGCUUAAGGAGGGGGUCGCGGCCGAUUAGUUAGUUGGCGGGGUAAUGGCCCACCAAGACUAUGAUCGGUAUCCGGCCUGAGAGGGCGCACGGACACACUGGAACUGAAACACGGUCCAGACUCCUACGGGAGGCAGCAGUGGGGAAUUUGCGCAAUGGGGGAAACCCUGACGCAGCAACGCCGCGUGGAGGAUGAAGUCCCUUGGGACGUAAACUCCUUUCGAUCGGGACAUUAUGACGGUACCGGAAGAAGAACGCCCCGGCUAACUUCGCGCCAGCAGCCGC
rnacentral:rRNA from 1 species